AAAAACAUGUCUUUGUGAUGUUUGAUAUAAAGUCUAACCUGCCCACUGAUAUAAAAUUUAAAGGCCGCGGUAUAGUGACCGUGCGAAGGUAGCAUAAUAAUUUGUCUCUUAAUUGGAGGCUGGUAUGAAUGGUUGAACAAAAAGCUAACUGUCUCUAAAAUAAAACUUGAAAUUAACAUUUAAGUGAAAAGGCUUAAAUACUUUAGAGGGACGAUAAGACCCUAUAAAUCUUUAUACUUCUCUUAAUAAGGCUAAAAAGUAGUUUAAUAUUUAGGUUUAUAAAGUGGAGUAUUUUGUUGGGGAGACAGAGGUAUAAGAAGAAAUAACUGCCUUAAAUGUUAAAUUAGAUAUAUUUAAUUAAGCGAUCCUUUAAUAUGGAUUAUAGAAGAAGUUACUUUAGGGAUAACAGCGUAAUUUCUCUUGAGAGUCCAUAUCGAAAGAGAAGGUUGCGACCUCGAUGUUGAAUUAAAGAUCCUCUAUGAUGCAGAAGUUAUACUAGGAGGUCUGUUCGACCUUUAAAUCUUUACGUGAUC
rnacentral:rRNA from 1 species